GAGCUCUGAGAAUGAAUGAGCUUUUGCAGGGCUGGAGAGAAGAGAAAUCACAUUACUGAACAGUACUCUGCACCUAAGACACAAGCAAUUCACCUCUAAAGGCAACGGAGAGAAAACAAACACAUCAGCCUCGACGUGCUCCUGUGGUUAAUCUGCACGCUAAUACGUGUGAUCAAGCGAUGAACAGCAAAUAAACACGAGCAAGCAACUUUCAGAAAGGUAUGGCGGUUCUCCAAGACAAAUUACCCAUGUUGUUGAGGAGGUCACCGGGGCUGGCAGCGUGCGGAUGGGGGAGGGGAAGGAAGAUGUUUGUGGUGAUGCACUCCCGGGGCCGCCUCCGCCUCCUGGCCUGUUCAGUGCUUGUCUGCCUGUGAAAGUGCUGGACCCCGAGACCCCAAGCUGCGAGCUGACAGGAGGGGAAGGAAGAAGAGAGCUCUGCCUACUGGCCCUGUCAUUUGAUGAAGGGGAAGCUUGUGUGGGCCAGACCUCGGGCAGCAGAUGUUGGUGGAGGACCUGCCAAGACCGUGUUGAGGGUCAGCGGAGGAGCCCGACUCAUCGCGCACUGUGGUGGCUGCAAGUUCCGGAAAGCUUAUCUCAGCGUACCUCCGGGAUGGAGUGCUCGCCUUCCCCGGAACGAGAUUCCAUAGCCGGAGUGGAAUGACUGCGCCUAAAGCUAAUCCUGAGCGGCUUCGCUUUGCACCGCAGUGUCCCCGAGGAGGAGACAGGCCGCCUCGCUGGCACGGAGAAUGAGUCGUGGGCCCUUCGGCCGCGUUUCUCACCCCUUCUGACCUGAAGACACAGAGAGAAGACCGCCUUCCACAGACCAGGAAUUGGCUGUCACCCCACCACAUGCAGAAUCUGCAGGAGCCUUGGUCUCGGACGUCCCAGCCCCCAGAACUAUGAGAAAUAAACUCUUGCUCUUUCUAAGCCACCCAGUGUAUGGUAUUUUGUUAUAUCAGCCCAAACGGAGUAAGACAGCGUCCAUCAGCAACCCCAGUCCUGGCAGGGGGAGUCAGAUCCAAGGAUAGGGGCCUGGUGGGCAAGAACCCUGAAGUUUGAUAUCGCCCCAAUUACAGUCACAGCAGUCACACACACACACACACACACACACACACACACACACACAACUGGUAGGCACUGAGUUGCAAAUUUGAAUGAAAUAUCUUCUUAGAAGGCUCCCUCUGAGUUCCUGCCAUUGGCUCACGAAGUCUUCUGAGCAAUGAUCAGUCCUGCCCCGUCCCAAGGAACGACACAGCCUUUGCCCUUGGCAUCACUCCUCGUGGUGAGAGACUCGCUCUGUGCACCGAUACUUCCUUCUGCUUCACGACGAGAAGGGUCUGUAGACUGUGACCCAUGAGGGCGUCCCCAGCCCCUGACAGGCACGCCCACUUGCUCAUUCCGCUGUUUGCCCCAGGUCAGUAGUCACCUGCAUGUAAAGUUAGUU